CCUACGGGGUGCUGCAGUGGGGAAUAUUGGGCAAUGGGCGCAAGCCUGACCCAGCAACGCCGCGUGAAGGAAGAAGGCUUUCGGGUUGUAAACUUCUUUUGUCAGGGACGAAGCAAGUGACGGUACCUGACGAAUAAGCCACGGCUAACUACGUGCCAGCAGCCGCGGUAAUACGUAGGUGGCAAGCGUUAUCCGGAUUUAUUGGGUGUAAAGGGCGUGUAGGCGGGAAUGCAAGUCAGAUGUCAAAACUAUGGGCUCAACCCAUAGCCUGCAUUUGAAACUGUAUUUCUUGAGUGCUGGAGAGGCAAUCGGAAUUCCGUGUGUAGCGGUGAAAUGCGGAGAUAUACGGAGGAACACCAGUGGCGAAGGCGGAUUGCUGGACAGUAACUGACGCUAAGGCGCGAAAGCGUGGGGAGCAAACAGGAUUAGAUACCCUAGUAGUC
rnacentral:rRNA from 1 species